rnacentral:tRNA from 1 species
GUAGACAUAGUUUAAUUAAAACACUAGAUUGUGAUUCUAGAAACAGAGGUUAAACCCCCUCUUGUCAACC